AACGAACGCUGGCGGCGUGCUUAACACAUGCAAGUCGAGCGAGCAGAUUCCCUUCGGGGAUGAAGCUAGCGGCGGACGGGUGAGUAACACGUGGGCAACCUACCUUAUAGAGGGGGAUAGCCUUCUGAAAGGAAGAUUAAUACCGCAUAACAUCAGAUUAUCGCAUGGUAGACUGAUCAAAGGAGCAAUCCGCUAUAAGAUGGGCCCGCGUCGCAUUAGCUAGUUGGUGAGGUAACGGCUCACCAAGGCGACGAUGCGUAGCCGACCUGAGAGGGUGAUCGGCCACAUUGGGACUGAGACACGGCCCAGACUCCUACGGGAGGCAGCAGUGGGGAAUAUUGCACAAUGGGGGAAACCCUGAUGCAGCAACGCCGCGUGAGUGAUGAAGGCCUUCGGGUUGUAAAGCUCUUUGAUCAGGGACGAUAAUGACGGUACCUGAAGAACAAGCCACGGCUAACUACGUGCCAGCAGCCGCAGUAAGAC
rnacentral:rRNA from 1 species